CCUUGGUGUCCAGGGGUGAUCAGGCUUCUGCCAUGUAGAAGCGAUACAUCAGGGCUACGACCAGGGCAGAGAUGGCUGGGAUCACCCAGUUGGACCACCAACUAGAAAGAUAGACACAGGAUCAGUGACGGUGGCACGGCGUGGCACAGCGGGCCAACCUCGAGGGCCCGGGCUGUGCCCUGGGUGGA